UACGUAGGUCCCGAGCGUUGUCCGGAUUUAUUGGGCGUAAAGCGAGCGCAGGUGGUUUAUUAAGUCUGGUGUAAAAGGCAGUGGCUCAACCAUUGUAUGCACUGGAAACUGGUAGACUUGAGUGCAGGAGAGGAAAGCGGAAUUCCUAGUGUAGCGGUGAAAUGCGUAGAUAUUAGGAGGAACACCAGUGGCGAAGGCGGCUUUCUGGACUGUAACUGACACUGAGGUACGAAAGCGUGGGGAGCAAACAGG
rnacentral:rRNA from 1 species